rnacentral:rRNA from 1 species
CGGGGGGGCGAAGCGUUGUUCGGAAUUACUGGGCGUAAAGGGUUCGUAGGUGGCCUGCUAAGUCAGACGUGAAAUCCCUCAGCUUAACUGGGGAACUGCGUCUGAGACUGGCGGGCUUGAGGGCAGGAGAGGAACGCGGAAUUCCAGGUGUAGCGGUGAAAUGCGUAGAUAUCUGGAGGAACACCGGUGGCGAAGGCGGCGUUCUGGACUGCAUCUGACACUGAGGAACGAAAGCCAGGGGAGCAAACGGGAUUAGAUACCCGGUACGUCCUGGCCCUAAACGAUGAAUGCUUGGUGUGGCGGGUAUCGAUCCCUGCCGUGCCGCAGUUAACGCGUUAAGCAUUCCGCUUGGGGAGUACGGUCGCAAGGCUG